rnacentral:tRNA from 1 species
GCAGUAGUGGUUCAGUUGGUAGAAUUCUCACCUCCUGUGUGGGAGGCCUGGGUUUGAUUCCCGGCCAAUGCA